rnacentral:rRNA from 1 species
UACAGAGGGUGCGAGCGUUGUCCGGAAUCACUGGGCGUAAAGGGCGCGUAGGUGGCCCGACAAGUCAAUGGUGAAAGUUCGACGCUUAACGUCGAAUCGGCCACUGAUACUGUUGGGCUGGAGCACUGUAGAGGCUCAUGGAAUUCCGGGUGUAGCGGUGGAAUGCGUAGAGAUCCGGAAGAACACCGGUGGCGAAGGCGGUGAGCUGGGCAGUUGCUGGACAC